UACGAGGGGGGCAAGCGUUGUUCGGAAUUAUUGGGCGUAAAGGGCGCGUAGGCGGCUUGGCAAGUGGAUGGUGAAAUCCCUCGGCUUAACCGAGGAACUGCCGUCCAAACUGCUUUGCUUGAGACCGGGAGAGGUGAGUGGAAUUCCCAGUGUAGCGGUGAAAUGCGUAGAUAUCGUAAGGAAGACCAGUGGCGAAGGCGGGUCUCUGGACAGUUCCUGACGCUGAGGCACGAAGGCCAGGGGAGCAAACGGG
rnacentral:rRNA from 1 species